rnacentral:lncRNA from 1 species
UUGUACAGUCUGUAACAGGGAGUAUAUACACAUAUGUUUGGCCUUUCACGGGAAGUAUAUACACAUAUGUACAGUAAUAGGGAGUAAUCUCAUUCCAUUGAUCCAAACAUAUAUACAUAGAACUUGCUUGCUCGUGUUGGCAAAAUAUGCUUAUUUCCAAAAUAUGCCAUAGAGCAAUAAUAGGUCUAGUCCAUGCAAUUUUUCAGUAUUGGAGGAUUGAUUGUUUCCAAAUUAAUACUCCAACAUUUAUUGUUUCUUUCUAAAAUUUAUGCAAUACUCAUCUGCCCAACUUAUUGAUCCUUU